GCAUGAACUGGCUAAAAGUGGCAGUUGAUACUUGAUAGUAAUUUUAGGGAUGAAAUCAUUGAAAUAGGCAUUGGACUAGCUUCACUCAUUCCCAAUUUUGAUAGAAGGUCUAUUAUAUAUCUUGUUUGGGACAAACUACAUAGAAUCUUAUGUUCUUUGGCACAUGAUAGUAUUUCUUUUUGGUUUUUGGGUGCAUAGGAGACCUUAUUCUAAUUAGUGUCAAUAAUAACCUGAAGCAAGGUUACUUCAAGAAAAAGGAAAUUGAUUCUUUAAUUCCCCUGUGCCAUUCAAUGCCGUUAACUAAGAUCAUGUUUGACUCCAAAUGUGAUGAUGUAUUUGAUGUCAAGCCAACAAGCAAUGAGGUGCCCAGUGAGCGGACGCCUGAAGUUGGGGGUGAAAUUGUUGCUAGACAUUUUUAAUUGCCUUUGUUUUAUAUUUAAUUAAGUUGAAAUUGUACGGGAUUUGGAUGUGAUAUACUCUUGUAAUUCUGGUUUAUUGAAGGUUUUAAACUUUAUUUUAUGAUA